GAUGAACGCUGGCGGCGUGCUUAACACAUGCAAGUCGAACGGAAAGGCCCAACCUUGCUUGGGUACUCGAGUGGCGAACGGGUGAGUAACACGUGGGUGAUCUGCCCUGCACUUUGGGAUAAGUUCAGGAAACUGGGUCUAAUACUGGAUAGGAGCACUUCCUGGAUGUUGUGGUGGAAAGAUUUUGCGGUGUGGGAUGAGCUCGCGGGCUAUCAGCUUGUUUGUGGGGUAAUGGCCUACCAAGGCGUCGGCGGGUAGCCGGGCUGGGAGGGUGUACCGCCACAAUGGGGAUUGGGAUACGGCCAGAAUCCCACGGGGAGCAAGCAGGGGGGAAUAUGGACAAUUGGCGGGAGGCUGGAUGAAGGACGGCGGGGGGGGGGUGACGGCCUUCGGGUUGGAAAACCGCUUCGCCAGGUACGGAGGGGUGUGUGACGGUACCGGGUAAAGAAGCACCGGCUAACUACGUG
rnacentral:rRNA from 1 species